rnacentral:lncRNA from 1 species
CGUGAACUGACACGACAUGUUUUGAACUGACGUAAUUUGUGCGGUCUUGGCAGCCUCGUACCCAGGCGCAAUUAACUAAAAAUAGGCACACUACAGUGUUUACGGAAAUCACAAUGAAAUUUGUCGGAAUAAAAUUUACAUAUGGAAAUUCACCGCGCGAAAUGAAAAUUAACUAUCGAGUAUCGUCUGUCUACGAGACAGCAUGUAGUCGAGUGGCGGGCGAUGCGAUCAGAAAAGGAAGUUCUGACAACGUCACAGUAAUGUUGGUGGAGAUAAAGAACCAAUCAUAGGAGUGAAAAUGAAUCAUCCAGCCAAUCAGAAAGCGAAAAACCAGUUGAAACCACCUCCACGCUGGAGAAAACGAGAUAUAUCGCAGUAAAAAAGAGAAAAGUGAAUCCAAAACUGACUCUAAAAAAACUCCUUGCAUGCAGAGAUAUUUUGUACAUGCAGCUAUUAUAUUUGAAUAUAUUAUACCUUUAGGCCUCAAAUUUCCAUGCACAUUGCAAAGCUUGUAUAAUUAAAAAAAUAUUUUAAAAAUGUUCAUACAUUUAUUGUGGUAAUUUUGUGACUAAGUUCGGUGAUACAGUAUGUUAGCUUUCUCAUACCCCUUACUGUACAAUAUAAUUUACAAGCUGAGAUCUAUUAGCAUCACCAUAUUGACGUGUUUAUACAGCAAAAAUAAACAUGUUCCAACCAGCAAGUAGAAAAACAGCGUUACUGUUUUUCUUGAGCGUUACUUUUUAAUGUUAUUCUGCUUCACAACGUUUUCUCUCCACUUUCCCAACAAUUUUGGAGGCAUUGUAAUUCAAUUCCCGUAAGUAACAGUGUAUAAAAUAUUAAAAUCUACAAUCUCUAUUCUGUAUGAUUGAACUGAUUCAUAUGAUAAUCUUUAUAAAUAUGAACCAAUAUAUAUACCGACUAUUGAAUAGGUAUAGUCAACCCCUAGUGAAUACAGUAUCAUAAAGCAUUUGAAUUAAAUAGUUUUCUAUUUUUUCGAAUAAACAGAAAAUUCGACAUAAAAUCACACAAACAAAUUCGACAUAUAAACAUCACACCAACAAAUUCGACAUAUAUCAUCACAUUUUACACGAAAGUCAUCAGGUAAAUUAUAUCAAGAUUUACAAGUGCACCCGAGGGCAAAUUCUCUUUCAAAAUAUAGCGACCUCAUUACUCCUGUUAGCUUGAUGCCGAAAAGGUGCAUUUCGGUUGGAUGAGUGAGAUAGUGACGUGGAAAUCAAGUUGUAGGAAGACAGAGAUUUGCAGGUGAUCGAUCUCCA